rnacentral:lncRNA from 1 species
GUGCUCAUUAGAGAAGGAUCGGAUUGAGUUAGAUUAUUGUACCUUGGAGAUGAAAUUACUGCAAACCCGUAAGUAGGAGCAAAUCAUGUUCUUAGGGAAGUGCCUAUGACACAUUUCAAUUCAGGCAAGCACUUUUCAAUUUUCUGAAUAUAUUUUAGUGAAUUAUUUUUUUAUAAAAUAAUUAUAUAGCAAUUUUUAGACAAUGGUUUUUC